UAAAACCUUUAUUCCCUGUAAUAUAAGGAAUGUCAUUUUUUAUUAAGAAAAUUUUAUUCAUAUACAAAAUAAAAAAUAUACUCACAGAACUAUUAACCUAUUUGUAUUUGCAGGGUUAUUCUUCAUUCUCAACGAAGCUAUACGUUUUGAUCACUUAUCAAAAUGCAUGUUCCAACUUCAAAAUAUUUAGCAUUACCACAGGAGAAAAUAUCUCGUUAUGAUCAAUACCAUAAUGUUGAUAAUAUCCUUAGGCAACC
rnacentral:lncRNA from 1 species